UCAGUUGUGAAAGUUUGCGGCUCAACCGUAAAAUUGCAGUUGAUACUGUCAGUCUUGAGUACAGUAGAGGUGGGCGGAAUUCGUGGUGUAGCGGUGAAAUGCUUAGAUAUCACGAAGAACUCCGAUUGCGAAGACAGCUCACUGGACUGCAACUGACACUGAUGCUCGAAAGUGUGGGUAUCAAACAGGAUUAGAUACCCUGGUAGUCCACACAGUAAACGAUGAAUACUCGCUGUUUGCGAUAUACAGUAAGCGGCCAAGCGAAAGCAUUAAGUAUUCCACCUGGGGAGUACGCCGGCAACGGUGAAACUCAAAGGAAUUGACGGGGGCCCGCACAAGCGGAGGAACAUGUGGUUUAAUUCGAUGAUACGCGAGGAACCUUACCCGGGCUUAAAUUGCAACAGAAUAUAUUGGAAACAGUAUAGCCGUAAGGCUGUUGUGAAGGUGCUGCAUGGUUGUCGUCAGCUCGUGCCGUGAGGUGUCGGCUUAAG
rnacentral:rRNA from 1 species